CAUGGGAGUGGGUUGCAAAAGAAGUAGGUAGCUUAACCUUCGGGAGGGCGCUUACCACUUUGUGAUUCAUGACUGGGGUGAAGUCGUAACAAGGUAACCGUAGGGGAACCUGCGGUUGGAUCACCUCCUUA
rnacentral:rRNA from 2 species